AUUGAACGCUGGCGGCAGGCUUAACACAUGCAAGUCGAGCGGGGAAGGUUGCUUCGGUAACUGACCUAGCGGCGGACGGGUGAGUAAUGCUUAGGAAUAUGCCUAUUAGUGGGGGACAACCUUACGAAAGGGAUGCUAAUACCGCAUACGUCCUACGGGAGAAAGCAGGGGAUCAUUUGACCUUGCGCUAAUAGAUGAGCCUAAGUCGGAUUAGCUAGUUGGUAGGGUAAAGGCCUACCAAGGCGACGAUCUGUAGCGGGUCUGAGAGGAUGAUCCGUCACACUGGGACUGAGACACGGCACAGACUCCUACGGGAGGCAGCAGUGGGGAAUAUUGGACAAUGGGGGGAACCCUGAUCCAGCCAUGCCGCGUGUGUGAAGAAGGCCUUUUGGUUGUAAAGCACUUUAAGCGAGGAGGAGGCUCUCUUGGUUAAUACCUGAGAAGAGUGGACGUUACUCGCAGAAUAAGCACCGGCUAACUCUGUGCCAGCAGCCGCGGUAA
rnacentral:rRNA from 1 species